rnacentral:misc_RNA from 1 species
CUUAGUUGAGUUGAGUUGAGUAUGAUUCCUUGUCUCCCUCCUAUAGAGCCUUUGUAUUGUCUGUUGCUGUUAUUUCUAUUCCGCGGGAUUGGAAAGAAGCUUACCUUGAUCCAAAAUGGAAGACAGCUAUGGUUGAGGAGAUGAAGGCUUUGACAAAAAAUGGAACAUGGGAUCUUGUUACUACUCCAUUAGGAAAGAAACCAGUAGGAUGUAAGUGGGUGUUCACAGUAAAAUACAAGGCUGAUGGAUCCAUUGAAAGAUAUAAAGCUAGGCUAGGAGCAAAGGGCUAUACACAGACCUACGGGGUUGAUUAUGAGAAAGACAUUUGCACCUGUUGCAAAGA